rnacentral:rRNA from 1 species
UACAGAGAGUGCAAGCGUUAAUCGGAAUUACUGGGCGUAAAGGGUGUGUAGGCUGUUAAAUAAGUUAGGUGUGAAAUCCCUGGGCUUAACCUAGGAAUUGCAGUUAAUACUGUUUAUCUAGAGGAUUGUAGGGGGAAGUGGAAUUUCCGGUGUAGCGGUGAAAUGCGUAGAUAUCGGAAGGAACACCAGUGGCGAAGGCGGCUUCCUGGACAAAUACUGACACUGAAACACGAAAGCGUGGGGAGCAAACAGGAUUAGAUACCCUGGUAGUCCACGCUGUAAACGAUGAAAACUUGCUGUUGGGAAUUUAUAUAUGUUUAGUGGCGUAGCUAACGCGUUAAGUUUUCCGCCUGGGGAGUACGAUCGCAAGGUUA